UUCUUUAAGAAACAAUUAUUUAAAGUAAAACCUGCUCCAUGAUCAAGUUUAAAUAGCCGCAGUUUCACUGUGCUAAGGUAGCAUAAUCACUAGCUUUUCAAUUGAAAGAUAGAAUGAAAGGUUAAACGAAAUAUCAAUUGUUUCAAUCUAUUCUAUACAAAAUUAGUUAUAAAGUUAAAAAAUCUUUUAAUAAAUAAGAAAGACGACAAGACCCUAAUAAACUUAAUAUUUAACUGGGGCAGUUAUAAAAAUAUACUUUAAGCUACAAAUAUAUACUAAUCUAAUCUAAUUAAUAACGGAAAGUUACUAUAGGGAUAACAGCGCAAUUUUUCUCUAAAGCUCAAAUAAAAAGAAAAAAUUACGACCUCGAUGUUGAAUUAAUUAAUCUAUUCAAAAUUAACGCAAAAGUUAAAUAAGAAAGUCUGUUCGACUAUGAAACAAUU
rnacentral:rRNA from 1 species